rnacentral:lncRNA from 1 species
GGGGGGGGGAAUUUCAGUGUAACAGGGACAGAAAUAGAGCGAAUACAAAAGGUUUUUUUCCAUUUUUCAGUUUUGAGUUUCUUUUUUUUAGUUUUUUUAUUUUAUUGUUCAUUUAAAGUAAAAAGAGAGGAGAAAGAAACUUACCUGGUCACCGGAGUCGACGGGUCGGCGUCUUCUCCAUCGACGGAGGCCGUAGGCAGGCGAGCGGCGGCGCGAGGACGCUAGGGUGAAACCCUAGCAGAGCAAAAAGGGGUUUUUUUUUGUUUUUUUUUCUUUCAUUCUUUUAAAAUGAUUUUAGAAAGAAAAAUUGUUUUAAAUAACAAUUUCAAAACGGCGUCGUUUUCCCAGGCCUGACCCGCGCGGUGACCCGACCCGAAGGGGAGGAUCCGCGCGCUCUGACGUCAGGUGGGGAAUUUGCGCAUUUAGUCCCUCUCUUUUGCUGCGCAUGCCAAUUAAAUUCUUUUUGUUGGUUUUAAAAUUGGGCCGCAUAUUUAGUUCCUGUUUC